GGCUGGCUAUUUUGGGUGAAGUCCUGGGUUAUUGCAACAAAGCAUACUUCUUAGUAGACCAACAUUUGGUGAUACAAAAGGAGUCCUUUAUCUUACUUCAAUUUUCAAAGAUGAUGUUAUCAUUAUCAUGCUCAAAAGUCCACCAACCAUUGCUCAAAUCUAAAUACCUUAUGGUGCUGUAGGAUUUUGGCCCUACAUCCUUGAGCUAGGAAUAACAGCAUUAUGCAUCUCUCCGCAUUAAGAAUACUCUGCAAAUUCCAUUAUAGAAAAUUCCUAAGGUAAAUAGCAUGUCUUUAUCAGUCUUCCGUAAUGAGCCUUGGAUCAAUCUUCUCUGUUGUGUCUCGUCAAAUUCAUUCUAUGCAAAUUCUAUACUUGGGUGCAUGUGUGGCAAAUUUUUAUUGGAUGCGCGACUCUGGCUAACAUUUGAUUCACUAUUAAGCUUGGUUGAAAACAGGUAUCCCUAGCUACUCUCCACCGAAGAAAAAUGAAAAAAAAUUCUCACAGUAAUUCUUUGUACGUAAUAAUUUUUUUAAUUUCUUUAGAUAAUUUAUCAAGAUAAUAGAUUUAAAGUUCUGCAAGUGAGAAUCUAACCCAGUUUAUUAGUAUCCAAAUCCCAGUGUCAU
rnacentral:lncRNA from 1 species